UAACAGAUGACAUGCGGUAAAAUCAUCAAACCCUUCGAAGGGGUUCUCAAAGAAGAAUGAGAGUCAGAGUAGGUCUCAGCAUGUAUAAUUAAUCAAUAAAAGUUAGUUCUGAUUUGACUACAAACUCACUCGGUCGUCUACAUGAUUUAUCUCCGUAAAGAAUGUCUUUUGAUCCUAUUUUAAUUGGAUAUAACAGUGUCGACGAGUCUAGUGCGCAUGGAUGCAUAUUUUUCCCCGACUACGUUUGGCGUAGGACUACGCCUGUGUGUUUUUGACCAGAGUUUCUGUAGUGGACUUCAGGCUGCUGACUUUCGCAGCAAUUCUUCAAGGCGGUACAUCGUGUUAACAACUUACUACAAACGAAUGAGGAAGUCAUGUCUGGAGACAUUGUGAGCGGUCUACAAGGAAUAUCGCAGCAGAAACCAGUUGUCGCCAAAUACGUGAUUUAAGUAUUGAAUAUAUCACUGUAUGUAGAUGCCUUUUAAGAUAGUCCUUUUUAAGAUAGUUUAGGCCAUUAUUCAGUUCAGUGUUUAGUGUAUUGAAUAUUCGAUUUUUAAAGUAGAUACAUAACUCGAAUGUUUAGGUUAUGCAUGCAUAUCAUAUUGAUAAUGCGUUCUGAUGUUUUAAAGAAAAUGUAAUUGUAAAUGUAAUGUAAUGAUUAGGAUUGUAUGAAAUUUAAACUAAAGGGGAAAGGAAUUGUUAUAACAGAUGACAUGCGGUAAAAUCAUCAAACCCUUCGAAGGGGUUCUCAAAGAAGAAUGAGAGUCAGAGUAGGUCUCAGCAUGUAUAAUUAAUCAAUAAAAGUUAGUUCUGAUUUGACUACAAACUCA